GAACCAGCAGGCCUCUUUUCCUUGCCUUUUGGGACCAGAAAGCAGUGAACCAGGAUGGGACAUGCCUCUUCAGAGCCAGACACACACAGGUGUCUUAAAGAGGAACAUGCAUCUCUGAGUCUGUCAUCAAAAUUUUUAUUCCAAGUCUGCAUGACAUGAGGAUUGUUGGAUUUCUGUCCUUUCGGUGUUUAUGGAGGACACAAAAAAGAAUUACUAUGAGUAAAUAAACAGAGAAGAUUAAAGGCCUUUCUCUAUGGGGGCACCGUUUAUGAGGCAGCAAGCCAGGAGACUUGUUUCUGGGAUUUUGUGAUGCUGCUGCAGCCGUGAACCACAUCCCAUUUCUGAGUUGUUGCAGUUGGAGCUCCUCAGCUUCUGAGUCUUCGCAUCCAGAGGCUCUGAUCUCAGCCCAUGUGUAUGUUCUGGGAGUGUCCCUGCCAGCACACAGCUCCCCCUGCAAAUUAUUUCAGGCCCUAAAGGAAAUGGGCAACUUGGGAGUCAGAAGGUAAAUAAAAAAUGGGAAAUCCCCAGCCGGACCUGCUCUCCUGGCUUCAAGGGGGGAGAAGAGGUCAGGGCAGAGAUGCAGAAGCUCUGGCUCUCGCCCUGCACCACCAUCUGAGGCCAGACCCUUAGGACUUGGCUGCUGAUACAGGACUGGAUUUUGAGAAUCAGCCAGCUCUGCAAUCACAGAAGACAGCUACAAAAGAGAAAAAUCUACCCUCUUUGUGUGCUGCAUGGCACUCAGUCUAGAAGAGAUGGCUUGAACUGCCCCAGCUGAUCUUGUCACCGGAAUAAAGAUGAAACCCAGACCGGGGAAAGCAAGGAGGCGAGGCAGAAAGGAGCUGGGCUCCCAGUCGCAUCAC